UUUUUUUUUUUUUUUUUGCCUUUUCUAGGGCUGCACCCAUGGCAUAUGGAGGUUCAGCUGUAGCCUCUGACCUACACCAGAGCCACAGCAACGCGGGAUCCGAGCUGCAUCUGCAACCUACACCACAGCUCAUGGCAACGCUGGAUCCUUAACCCACUGAGCAAGGCCAGGGAUCGAACCUGCAACCUCAUGGUUCCUAGUCGGAUUUGUUAACCACCAAGCCAUGACGGGAACUCCUAGUUCUUUUUAUUUUAAUGGUUCUGUAUUUUAAUUGGGUUAGAAAAAGUGAACUCCAUAAACAACAAGUUCCUACAGAAUAGCACAGGGAUGUAUCUAUUCAAUAUCCCGAGACAAACCAUAAUGGAAAAGAAUAUAAAAAAGGGAAAUAUGUGUAUCUGUGUGUGUACAUAUAUAUAAAAUUUUAUGUAUGUAUGUGUAUACAUAUAUAAUGUAUGAAUAUAUGUAAAACUGAAUCAUUUAUGACACCUAAGAUUUUUUUAAAGUGUGUGAUUUAAAAUGAAUUAAAAUAAAAAUAUUUCCUGCUGUACAGCACAGGGAAUUAUAUCUAGUCACUUAUGAUGGAACAUGAUGGAAGAUAAUGCGAGAGAAAGAAUGUAUAUAUAUGUGUGACUGGGUCACUUUGCUGUACAGUAGAAACUGACAGAACACUGUCAACCCACUAUAAUGGAAAAAAUAAAAAGCAUUAAAAACAUAAAAAGAUACAAUAAAAGUACAGAGAGUACUCAUAUAACAUAAGUAUAAAAGCCAUCAUAUGUGGGACACCCUGAUGUAUAUAAGAUUAAUACAAUUUAAAUGCAGCAUCAGUCCCUGACCUUUCUAGCCUCAUCCGCCUCCCGCUGUCAUCAAGCACAACAUAUCAUAUGUUAACUAAACUACAGGUUUCCCAUGUCUUAUUUGCCUAAUUCAUCUAUCAUCUCUCAGCAGCCAGAGGGAUGCUGUUAAAUGAUAAGUCAAAUCGGGUCAUUACUGUGAUCCAAACUCUUCAGUCAAUAAAGCUUUUAUUUCUAGGACAUGUAAGCUAAACUAUAAGAUGUACAUAAAUUAUAAGAUUAUGAAAUGCUACUAUAUCAGCAACUUAAUCUUAAAAUGGUUCAGAGAACAAAGUACAUAUAUUUACAUACAUACAGAUAAAGCCAAUAUGGCACAAUGUUACAGCUAUUGAAUCUAAGUGAACGUGUGGAUUUUCCUCUCUAUUUUUCUUUUAAUUUCCUUUGUGUUUAAGAUUUUUCAUGAGUAAAAAGUUGUAAGGAAAAAUAAAAUGAUUUGAUGCGUAGAUAGAGGGAUGGACACAGUGACCAAAAUAUACUAAAGCCACUAUACUAAGAUAUAAAUAGUUGAAUCUAGGUUGUGAGUAUAUGAGUCUUCACUGUAUUACUUUUUUCAACUUUUUUGUAUUUUUUGUAUAUUUGAAAAUAUUUAUAAUAGAAAUAUGGGGGAGAGUUGUAAGAAAAAGUUUAAAAAAUAAAUUCUUGUCUAUGUAGAAAAUCAAAAAAACCUAACAAUUGAAAAACAAAAGCAAACAAACAAAAAACAACUCCUGGAACUAAAAAGCAUUUACAGGAAAAUUGCAGGAUACAAGAUCAAUAAAGAAAAGUCAGUCACUGGGAAUUCCCACCAUGGCUCAGUGGUUAACAAAUCUGACUAGGAACCAUGAGGUUGCAGGUUCGCUCCCUGGCCUCGCUCAGUGGGUUAAGGAUCCAGCGUUGCCAUGAGCUGUGGUGUAGGUUGCAGACGUGGCUCGGAUCUCACGUGGCUGUGGCUUUGGCAUAGGCCGGUGGCUACAACCCUGAUUGGA
rnacentral:lncRNA from 1 species